GCAAUGUCCCAGCGAGCAGAUGCCUCCCAGUGUGGCGGGGUUGUGGUCGAGUUUGAGUCGGAACACAUCAAGAAUGCAAGAGCUAAGAGAACUAAGAGUAUACCAGGCUCAGCUCUCAUCUACCUCAAAGGCCCCAAGUUUCUCAUCUAUGUCAGUGGGGCAUUGUCAAUGUGGGGGGACCGCAUGUGGCACUUUGCAAUCUCUGUGUUCCUGAUUGAACUGUAUGGCCGUAACUUACUGUUGACGGCUGUGUUUGGACUGGUAGUGGCUGGGUCAGUGCUCCUCCUUGGAGCUUUGAUUGGAGACUGGGUUGAUCGUAAUCCGAGGAAUAAAGGUAUGCACAGUGUAUUCACAUCCAUUCAAAGAUGUUUCCUGUAGUUAAUCAUAGAAGAGUUAUCAGCAAAUAUCAAUCUUGGGCACAGACUGUCUGCUGGGUCCUGCAGGUGGAAAAUUGCAUUGCACCCUUGCUGUUGGAAGUAUAAAUGAGUCCCUGAUUUGAUAGCUAGACUCAAUACCAG